AUCACACGAACUACGAAAAUUGUAAUUUUCGGUUCCCAAACGGGAAGCGAAAGUAAAAAAAUGCAAGUUAUGUAUCGAAAUCGGUUAAUACAUAAUACGAAAGUCUAUGUACAUAAUGCAAAAGUCAAAUCUUGUAAUAGUACAUUUUUACCAACCAAAUUUAUUCUAUGCUUUU